UACGGGAGGCAGCAGUGGGGAAUAUUGCACAAUGGGCGAAAGCCUGAUGCAGCUAUGCCGCGUGUAUGAAGAAGGCCUUAGGGUUGUAAAGUACUUUUCAUCGGGGAGGAAAAACAAAACUAAUAAUUUUAUUUCUUGACGUUACCCGAAAAAGAAGCACCGGCUAACUCCGUGCCAGCAGCCGCGGUAAUACGGAGGGUGCUAGCGUUAAUCAGAAUUACUGGGCGUAAAGAGCACGUAGGUGGUUUUUUUAAGUCAGAUGUGAAAUCCCUGGGCUUAACCUAGGAACUGCAUUUUGAAACUGAAAUACUAGAGUAUCGUAGAGGGAGGUAGAAUUCUAGGUGUAGCGGUGAAAUGCGUAGAUAUCUGGAGGAAUACCUGUGGCGAAAGCGGCCUCCUAAACGAAUACUGACACUGAGGUGCGAAAGCGUGGGGAGCCCGAAA
rnacentral:rRNA from 1 species